rnacentral:rRNA from 1 species
ACUCCUACGGGAGGCAGCAGUGAGGAAUAUUGGGCAAUGGACGAGAGUCUGACCCAGCCAUCCCGCGUGUAGGAAGACGGCCUUAUGGGUUGUAAACUACUUUUAUACAGGAAGAAACGUACCCUCGUGAGGGUGCCUGACGGUACUGUAGGAAUAAGCACCGGCUAACUCCGUGCCAGCAGCCGCGGUAAUACGGAGGGGUGCGAGCGUUAUCCGGAUUUAUUGGGGUUUAAAGGGGUCCGUAGGCGGAUUAAUAAGUCAGUGGUGAAAUCCCAUCGCUUAACGAUGGAACUGCCAUUGAUACUGUUAGUCUUGAAUGAGGGUGCAGUGGUUGGAAUGUGUAGUGUAGCGGUGAAAUGCAUAGAUAUUACACAGAACACCGAUUGCGAAGGCAGAUCACUAACCCUAAAUUGACGCUGAGGGACGAAAGCGUGGGGAGCGAACAGGAUUAGAUACCCUGGUAGGAUAGCG